AAGUUAAUCAACAUUAUUAAAUAAAACAUAACCACAAAAUGUCAAAAUUACAUCACUAAGUUAGGAUAUGUACUACCAAAUUCCAUGUAGCUGUUUGUGGAAAUUACAACCCUCCAUCAAAAUCACUUGUUUCAACAGGUUCAUCCAUUCGAAUCAUUAUGACACCUUAAAGCUGCCCAGAAAUUGCACCUCGAAGGACAUAAAGGAUUCCUACAUAAAACUGUCUAAAGAGAACCAUCCAGAUGUGAACAAAAAUAAAUCAGCCCACAAAGAAUUCUUGAAGAUUAAAGAAGCUUAUAAUGUGUUAAGCAAACCGAGUUCUAGAAGACAGUAUGAUAUGUGCAUUAAAUAUGGCAGUCCACAAACGCGCACACCCUAUCAACAACACACCCAUGAUCCUUGGAAAGAUCCGUUUUUUUAUGCUAAUAGAGACAAAACCAAAGAUCAGUACUAUGAACAAAAGCCAUAUUAUGGGGUGAAUGGUAUAAAUAGAUUGCCUAAUAAUAUGAUUGCUUUUUUCUGUGUUAUGUUGACUGUGAUUAUUGUGGGACUUCAAGUCUUUACAAUCAGGAGAAUAUUUGAAAAAGAAAAACAAGAUAGAAUAUUGAGAGAACAGAGAAUUAUAUGGAUUAAAAAAGCAUGUACUAAUAGCAAUGAAAAUUCACAACCUAAAACAUCAUAAACACCAAUUAUAAUUUGGCAGUAAAAAUUUAAAUGAUAAUGAAAAAACAAAAAAAUAGAAAAAACAAGAAAUUAAUAUAUAUCUACCCAACACUCGAUCACGUUCAAACGUGACGAAUUACAGCGUAGGUCGAACGAGGCUGAGGCUACGCUGAAAAAAGUCAGAGAAGCGGCAGAAGCUAAUGGAAAUCAAAAGCAAAUUGAACUGCUCAAAGCUUGGGUUUCUGAACAUGGGAAAUAAAUUUAUGUAGAUUAUAUUUUAUAAAAAUAAUAAACUAUUUGAUU